AAGGUCCUAGAAGAUAAUUUGACAUAAAUUCGCAGAAAAAUUAAAGCCAUCCGUAUUAAACAAUCAUAAUGCUUUAGAGAUAUUGGACGGAAUUUCAUAAAUCACAGGCUUAUACUUAUCAUAUUUAUCUCUUCGACGGAAAAAGGAAUAUUGGACUUGAUGAAGGAAAUUUGCAUGAAUUG